UACGAAGGGGGCUAGCGUUGCUCGGAAUCACUGGGCGUAAAGCGCACGUAGGCGGCUUGUUAAGUCAGGGGUGAAAUCCUGGAGCUCAACUCCAGAACUGCCUUUGAUACUGGCGAGCUUGAGUUCGGGAGAGGUGAGUGGAACUGCGAGUGUAGAGGUGAAAUUCGUAGAUAUUCGCAAGAACACCAGUGGCGAAGGCGAAUCCCUGGAAAAUACCUGACACUGAGGCACGAAAGCUAGGGGAGCAAACAGG
rnacentral:rRNA from 1 species